AGUAUUUCUUCUUAACGCAUUUGGACAAAGUGACUUUGGUACAGUUGCUUAUUUAGGGAAGACAUGCGGUGAUGUUUCUCCACAAGAAUACGUUGGUGUAGUCUUUGACUCACCAGUUGGAAACAUAGGUGGAAGUAACGGAAGUUGCCCAUACUUUAAAUGUGCACCUAAACAUGGCAAGCUGGUUCCUGUAGAGCAAGUCACUUCUACUGAACAGACUAAUGAUGUCUAGACUCAAUGUUGUAACUGUCUGUUUUACAAGGGUGUUAUUUUAGUUUGUCUAGAAUGAAUUUUGUUGACAAAUUGUGUAUGAUGUCCUGGUGCUAUUUUGAUACGUUAAAGUGCCUGUUGUCAAGCGUUAAGAUGGUAACUUUGAAGUACAGUAGUAGACCUAUUACCUUGUGCUCAUUAACGCCAAUAAAAUGAAGUUGCAAUAUCAAAAGU